UAUCAACUCAGAAAGAAAACCCAAAUACUGUGCAAAGCUUCCUGCCAACUUUCUUAGCUGUAGUAAGUGUCCUCGGGGCUUCAAAAUCUGGGCUCUUCUAGAUAUUUACAAGUCGUUACAGCCAAGAAAACUCUUGAGUUCUUAGUAAUUUCUGGGCCCAGGAAUACUUACUUUGUAGAAUCCAGUAUGUUUUAACUGUCUAACUUUGACAGCCCAGAUAGCACACUGUAAGUUUGCUAUUUCCUUUGUCCAUACUCAUUAAUUUAGGGUUUGAGUUUUCUUUCUUUUCCACACAGAUGUAUAACUUUGUCAAGUUGUUUGGAGUUACUAUUAACCUCACCUUCACCACACACACACACACACACACACACACACACACACACACACACACACACACUCGUAAUUGGAUGGUCUCUUUAUUCUCCAUGAAUUGAACACAUACAUGCAUUGGUAGAAAACAUUAAUUAAAAAUAUUUCAAGCAGGGCUGAGUCCAGUCCUUAGUUACACUUCUAAAAAAUAUGGUUGUGAAGUUAAGCUGAAUUUUUUGGCUGAUUCCAAACCAUGUGGUGAAGAAGUCUUCUUUGCCCGGGUUUUCCACCUCCAUAGUUUCUGUCUCCCACACUGCUUUCCAAAUGUCCCUGCUUCUGGCUGGCAGCUCUUUGCCUUUCCCUCUGUCCCUCCCUCCAUCCCUCUGUCCCUCCCUCCAUCCCUCUGUCCCUCCCUCCAUCCCUCUGUCCCUCCCUCUCUCCCUGCCUCCUUUCCUCCUUCCUUUCUUCAUGGUGGCUCCCGCCUUUUCUUCCUUGCUUCUGCCUCUGGCCUUUUCCCUCCAGCAAAGCUCUGAGGUCCUCUCAGACGUGGUACCUCUGACCACCAGAAUUUUAACUGCAGGUCCAGCUUUCACCCGUGGAUAAGCUCUGGAUCUCUGACGAUCUAGUAACUUUUAUGUCACCUGACUUGACACCUCCUCCAGCAGCCAUCCAGAGGGAUGUGUUCUUCUUGGUAGUCUCUGCAAGGGCAGUAGGCUGCUUGUAGGCACUGAAAUGUACUUGAGUUGGAAAACCACCUCAUGUCAGCUCAGUCCCUGAACAAGUUCUUUCAGGAGAGAAUGUUCUCUUAGUCCCAGUCGUAGAAUCAGAACUAAACCAGAGGAGGGGCAGUUGGGAAAUUAUGUAACAGGUAUCCAGUGUUUCCUAACAGUCAAUCUUGCUCCAACGGGCUAUCACCAUUUAAGAUGUACCCACCUGUGGUUAAAAAUCACUGUGCUUAGAAAUGUAAACGGGUACUUCAGUUUCAGAAAAGACUUUAUGUAACAAUGAACACUCUGUAUCUUAGAGUCUAGAAUGUUCACUGGGAUUUCUGAUUUAGUCAUAUUAACCUUUGUACCCUGGCAGUUUCAUUACCGUGAAAUAUCCUAUUUAUUGAUGUGCAUCAUCCUUGUGAUUAUUUUUGUUUGUUUUAAGUCUCUCAAAUUUGACAACCAUGACAGGCUAGGAACUACAUUCUGUAUUGUUACAGUUUAAAUCUGGAAUGUCCCCAGAAGCUCAGCUGGUGGCACUGUGGGGAGAGGGGGAAGAGUGAAAGGAAGUUAAGUCAUUGGGAGUGUGCCCUUGAAGCCACUAUUGGGAUCUUAGCCUGUCCUCCCCCAUAUCUGCUUACCAGCCACCAUGAGAUCAUCAACUUUGCUGUACUAUGGCCACCAUGCCAUGAUCCUCUGCCUUACCACAGGUUUCAGAUGAUGAGCUGAACCAUCAUGGACUCAACCCAUGAGCACUAACUUUUUUCUCAGGCAUCUUUGACAGAGUGAUGACUAAUAUCUUGUUGGGAGUGACAAGUGACACAGGUCUGUCUCAGCAGGCUGCUGUCCCCUGCAACGUAGUAGGAACUAACAUUCACUGACCUCAGAGUUGAAAACAUCAGGGCAUGUGACUCUGUGCUGAGAUUCCUUUUCUUUUCCAUUCCUUAUUGGUUUUCAGAGGUUUGCUACAACCCUACCAGAGUCUGACCUAGGGCAAUACACCGCCCUCUCCAUGCUUUAGCUUUCUGUUGAAUGGAUCUGGGGCCUCUCUAGGUCUGGGCCCUUUGUUCUACCUCCUCUCUACUCAAGACCUCAGACUCACCUGUCACCGGGAGCCUGGGAAGUGCACUGCAAUUGGCCAACUGGCUGAUAGGUGUGGUGUGAAAAAAAAAAUGACUCCAAGUGUGGUAGCCAUGCCUAGGAUCCUGGCACUUGCAUCAGGGUCAGAGGCAGCAGGGCUGCUAUACAUCUGAGUGCUCAUUUGAAAAAAACAAACCACUGAACAAACAAAAGGAGACAGACCGCUUGCAGAAUUCAAGUUCACAAUAUCUAAAGGGCAAAAUUAUACAGAACCCAAAAUAGCAUAUGCCUGACAUCUAAAAAUUCUGUCUUUAGAAGUGCAGCUUGGCUCUCUCUGCUGCUUAAAUGAAGUUCCCAAUUUGGCUAAGUGUAUGCAGUCAUUGCACAAUGGGGGUUCCAGAGCUUUCUGCUCCUUUCCUGUCACUUGUCCACCUGUCUAUGGGAGAGGAGAGAACGGUUGGCGUGGGGAGGGCUCCUGUCAUCUGGGUCACCUAUAGCUACACGGAAAAGGCCAGAUUGAGACAGCGCUUGACUUUCACCCUGCCAGCAUUCAAGGGGCUGGUGGGCUAGCUAGGCAGUUGGCUCAGAGAGGUCAUGUGACUUACUCAGGGUGGCCGGGCCUUUGGAGCAGGGUUUGAGCCAGAGACUACUUGGUUUGGAACUGACAUCCUUUUUCUGAUGUCACCUUUCUCUGCACUGCUUGAAGGAGCCUCACUAGGGCCCGAUAGAUUUAAAAAAUGCCUUUCAGCCGGAUCCACAUACAAAAGCAUGAUUUCCAGCCAAGCCAAUUUAGUAAAUUGAUUUGUAAACUCCUGUGUGUUCCCAGAGUGCUCUGAAGGACCCUUGAGAUGCAGCUUUUGCUGGGAAAAUGCAAAGACUCCUCCAGCUCUCCCCUACCCCCCUUCGAUUUUAGUAGCAAAUAAUGCAGACAGCACUGGCUACAUCUGCCUGCCUGUCAGUUACCCAGAGCAACAGUGGUACUUUUUACCUGUCCAAACUCCUCCUUCAGCCUUGGAGGUCUCAAUACAUUAUGCCAAAACAGUGUCACCAACUGUAACUUCAUCAAGUGACUGAAGAGUCCAAUGUGCUGAGCGGAAUGCCUGCAUGGCAGCUUUAUGGUUUGAUCCAGUCUGCUGGUGACUGCGGAGCUGCAGUUAGCAUUUAGAUCGGCUUUGAGGGAUCGAGGCCACACCGGUGUGAGAAAAUACAGAGGUGUGUUGUGCCCAGCAAUCAGAGACGGCUCCUUAAACGAAGUCCCUGGCAUUCAGUCUCAGCAAGUUAUUUUAAACUCAAGCUAUUUUUUAUUCUGCUUUUUGUUGUCUGUCAGUAACUAUCUUUUCCCCAGGUCUUCUCCCGCUCCCUUCGUGGACUGGGCUGAUGUUAUGGGGAGGCCACAGCCUCAGGUCCCUGUUGCCCCUCAGGCUUGCUGCUAAUGCUCACUCACAGGUUAGAGGCAGCUGACACUCUGCAAAAGUGAAAGCGAACAUUUCGCAGUUACGCAAUGCCUUUGUCUGUGCUGUCUGAGAGCGCCCUGUGGCCACCCUCCCUCUAAUCUGCACAGUGUCCUGUGAAGUGGGCAGAGAAACAGAAGCAUCUGGAGAUGAAAGACUCAGCCAAGCUCCGAGCCUACUUUCUCCCUUCUGAGAACAACUUUGGCCAGAUCUCCAUGCCUGUCUCAGGAAGGUUUUUCUCCGCUCCCAAUAUCUUAAUGAAAGUGACAGCUGGUGGCUGUGGGCCACUCUGUUCAGCAGAGCAUUAGGCUAUAGCCCCCAGGUCAGGGGAGUGUUGUCAGCUCAGAACAGCUACUCCUACUCUGGAAAAUUCUCCACAGGCAAGAGGAUCUAUCAGAGGAAAAAAAAAAAAAGCUUACUAAUGGAGAAGGCUGUGUGGUAAAGGAAGGACAAGAGAUGCUGGUCAUAACUAGAGUUGAAAGAGGAGUUAUUUGACACUUUAGGGCUAGAGAGAUGACUAGUGUUAAGAGCACAGUCCUCUUGCAGAGACCUGAGUUUGGUUCCCAGCACUCACGUUGGGUAGUUCACAAGCACUUGUAAUUGCAGCCCAGGGAGAUCUGAUGCCCCCUGCUGGCUUCCUCAUGUGCCUGCACUCAUGCACACAGAGACUCACAAACAGGCACAUAUCCAUACCCAGAAUUUUUUUAAAGAACCUUUAAGAUUUUAAAGUACAGUCUUUGAGCAUCUAUUUGCCACCCAAACCGUUACUUCCAAAUCUGAAAGCUUGUCCUUGACAACAAUGUCUAACUGCACAUUGGUGUACACAUGUAAUGGCAUGUAAUAUAGGGGCGUGAGAUAGGAGGGUCACAAGUCCUAUGCCAACCUGGGCUGUAUAGUGAGAGAAUGAGACUCUCAUCUCAAUUAAACUUUCCUUUUAAAGAAAAGGACUAGAACUUUAAUGUUGAUUGUUAGAAAGGGACAGCAGCUGCUGUCCCCUAUUGUCUCUUAGGUUUCUAAUGGCCUCAUGGUAGAUUUUUUGAGACAACCAGCUUCUGAGAGACCUAUGAUCUGUGUCAGGUUGUCUUGGGGGCCCUUCAACAAGGAGAACACAUGCCAGUGUAUCCUAAGACAUCAGGGGACACGCUGAUACCCUUGCCACCUGCUGACCUUGCCACCAGGGCCAGACCUCUGCAGGCCUUUCCCAAAGUAAUAUACAGAAAAACUGGUCACAGACGCAUGGGGACCAGCAGCUGUCAGAGGCCUGAUAAUGUGCUCCACUCCUGGGGACACCUUUGUCACUUUGGAAGAAUGAGUUCAGUGUCUCUAUGAGGAACCCAUCACGAGAACAGCACUCCCCUCCCCACCUGGAAUUGUGACUUUUUUUUUCUUUAAACAGUCCUGGUUAUUUGUUGGCCAGCUGAGAAAACAGACUUAGAAACAGCAGGCAAUAUGUCAGGCUUCAAAGGAAAAUGUAUUGGUGUCUCGCUGGCUUGCAGCCAACAUUAUGUUGGUAAAUAAUCAAAUCCCGGUGCGGCGGGUUUCUCCCUGAACCUUGACUGAAAACUAUUGAAGCUGGGUCUGGGAGGAGAAGAGUGGCAGCCACGCAUUCCAGGGGAAAGGCUGAGGAGAAUGACUGGGAAUGCUUGUAAUUAAGCAGGCCUUCUAUGCCCACAAGACUGAUGGGACAGCAAGCUAAGAACUGGAGCGAGCUUCCAAGAUGAGGAAGCACUGGGACUGAAGAUGGAGCCCAGGGCUUCCUGCUUGCUAGGCAGAAACUCUUCCACCCACAUCCCUAGCUUUGGAGAUAUAGUUUAAGGUAAGUUUGUUUUUUGCAUCUUUUUCUCUUGUUGCUGAUCUUGACUUCCAUUUUAUUCCUAGAUGCAGACAGGCCUGAUGACAGAGGGAUGGGGCGUGCAGGCCUCUGAACAUGGGCCUGUGGUGUGACUGAGGAAGGGUAGCCAUGUUGUUUUGAGAGACCUAGGGUGCUGCUAGAUGAGGUUCCUGCCCCUUUUAUAUACAGUGUAUUGGAUGAAGAGGGGGGACAAGGACAGCAUGGAGCUUGUCUGUAGUGGAAAGAAGAGACAUGAUUCUUGAAAGCAUUUCCAUCUCUUUCCACUGUAAUUCAAUGUUGUCAUCUAUACAGUUCAUGUAUAAGAACCACACAGUCAAGUUGAAAAAAAAAAUCUGUGUAAUUUUUAGAAUUUUGGGAUGGGCUGUCGUUAUAGCUACCAUAGACCUAUGGGCUGUUGGUGCCACAUCCUGGUAGGGUGUGGUAAGUGGAGUCCAGGUGGGAAUUGUGUAUACUUGAAGGGUGCUCCUGGCAGGAAUAAGAUGUCAUUUACCACAGCAACACUUUAUUGGUUUAGGCAUCACUUUUAUACCAACUUUAGUCAUUUCGGCGUGUAGAAGACCCAAGGGUACCAGGUGGUGGCACACAUUUAAUCCCAGCACCAGGCAAACAGAGGCAGGUGGAUCUCUGUGAGUUCAAGGCCAGGCUGGUCUAUAGAGUAAAUUCCAGAACAGCUAAGGCUAUACAGAAAAACCAUGAUUAGACUCCUUCCCCGUCAAAGAAUCAAAAAAGUAAGCCCUCUCAAUAGAACAGCUAAGGGGAAGACCUGGGUUCUCAGCGGAAUUGUGCUACAGAGACCUAGGGUGCUGCUAGGUGAGGUUCCUGCCCCUUUAUGUACAGUGUAUUGGAUGAAGAGGGGGGACAAGGACAGCAUGGGACUUGGGUCACAUUGCUGUAGAGAGUGCUUCGGGGUCAAAGGGGGCAUGAGAUCCCCAGGGCAUUGCUCCUUGGCUCACUAGAGGGGUUCCUGGGCCACCCCUCCCUGCCAAGGUCCUAGAGAGUGACCUCAGCUUCACUCAGCUCCAUUGGCUCCUGCCUCCCUCCUUCAUAGUGCCAGACAAGACCUUUGUCUCCAGGACAUUGAGAGUGUCAGCCUUGUGUUCUCAGAACUGGCUUCCCAUCACCCAGGUCCCAGUACUGAGCUUUCUGCAAAGCCCUCCCACACUGGACUGGACUAGCCCAGCCCAGGCUCCCUCCCAUACCCCGAAAAGAGCUCUUGGUCUCAGCUAUGAAGCCAGCUGGUUAUGAAUGUUAUCAUCUUCCUUUUCUCCUGAUCCCCACCUGUAUUAGUCAGGGUUCUCUAGAGUCACAGAACUUAUGAAUAGUCUCUAAAUAGUAAAGGAAUUUAUUGAUGACUUACAGUCGGCAGCCCAAUUCCCAACAAUUGUUCAGUCGCAGCUGUGAAUGGAAGUCCAAGGAUCUAGCAGUUACUCAGUCUCACGCAGCAAGCAGGCGAAGGAGCAGGAGCAAGAGCAAGAGCUAGAGCUAGAGCAAGAGCUAGACUCCCUUCUUCCAAUGUCCUUAUAUUGUCUCCAGCAGAAGGUGUAGCCCAGAUUAAAGGUGUGUUCCACCACACCUUUAAUCCUAGAUGAAAGGCGUAGCCCAGAUUAAAGGUGUGUUCCUUAAACUCGGAGAUUCAAUCUUCUGGAAUCCAUAGCCAAUAUGGCUCAAGAUCUUCAAACCAAGAUCCAGAUAAGGAUCUCCAAGCCUCCAGAUAAGGGUCACUGGUGAGCCUUCCAAUUCCGGAUUGUAGUUCAUUCCAAAUAUUGUCAAGUUGACAACCAGGAAUAGCCACUACACCACCCAAUAGGCCUGUUCUUUUAUUUUUAUUUUUUACAUAGGAAAAGGGUUAAUUUAUUUUACAAAUGUGGCAGACAUUUCUUAAAUUUCCAAGAAAGCAUGCAAUCCCCCCCCCCUCGCAUCCUCCCCUGCCCCAAGCGCUUCUAUUGUUUCGCAUUCAGUUGUGUUUCCUUUGUUUCUCUCAGCACUCACGUUUCACAGACAGUAAACAGAUGUAGACAACCACAAAACAGAAUUGAUUAUUCAGCCUCAGUGAACCAAGCUAGCAUUUUAUUUUUGAGCACUGAGGAUCAAACCCAGGUCUUUGUACCUGCCCGGCAAGCAUGCUACCAUAGAACUGAACCUGAAACCCUGGCUAGUAUGGCUGAAGAAAACCUGAGUACCAUGGGUCAAGUACAGGCAAUAUAAAAAUGGCAUUCUCUCUCUUGCUCUUAUUCUCCUCAGCUAUUUAUCCUGGACUUGAUUGUAAAAAACCAUGAAAACAUAUACAAGGCACAGUAAAGCAACACACAUUUGAACUCUGCUCGAUCAAAGAAAAAUAGGGGCUGGCGAGAUGGCACAGUGGGUAAAGGUCACUGUCAAGCCUGGGGACGUAGUUCAAGCCCCGAGACCCACAUGGCGAGAAGAGAGAACCGGCUCCUGGGAACUGUCUUAUCAGCUCUACCUGCAUGCUGUGGCCCCUGUGUGCCCACUUUUCAGUACACAUGUACACAUAAAUAAGUAAAUGUAAUAAAAGUCAAAAAAGAAUUAUGCAGAUAAGGAGGAGAAGACAUAUUUAUAAAGUUCUGUGGCUGUUAAACACUUGCCCCAACCGACUCUCCCUAGCCCCUGAUGACUCCCAUCCUGUCUUCUGAUUUUAUCAGUCUGGGUGUCUAAGAAUGGAGUCAAGCAAUACCCAUUAGUGACUGGCUUGAUUCACACAACAGAAUGUCUCAUAGUUCAACCACAUCCUAGUGUACUAUAUCUCUUCUUUUCUAUGCUGAGUAAUUUGUAUUUGUAUGUAUGUAUGUAUGUAUGUAUGUAUGUAUGUAUGUAUGUGUGUAUGUAUUUGAUUAUAUGUAUGGAGCGUGGUCUCUUUAUCUACUUAGCCAUCCACAGGCACCUUUAGCUGUUUUCAGCAAUGUUGAGAUGAACACAAGUGUGUAGAGCUCCUUGAAUCCUUGAUCUUUAUCCUCUUGGUGACUAUACCCAGAUAGAAUACUCUGCUGGGGCUUCCUUGAAGUUUGUGACACACUACCACUCUAUGUUCCUGAACAGCUGGCCCUUCACAGGCUCCAGUAAAGCACAAGUACCAUUUGCCCACAUCUCUGCCAACGCUCCUUCUAUAAGAACCAAGGUGUCAACCGGAAAGCCUGUCAGUGGGCAAAUGGGGAAAGAAAAUGCAGCAGGGCUCAGCGUUAACGCUGAAGGACACCACAUCCAUCAUUAUGGAGCAUGGAGGAGUCUGAAGAGCAUGGUGCUCAUUGGUAAAUCAGGCACAGAAAGAUGGGGCCAUCUUCUCACUUGAGGGGUCUAGAAAAGGCGAGCUCACAGAAGCAGAGAAUGAAAUAGUGGGUGCCAAGGCCUGAGGCUGGAGUGCAAAAGGAAGGUGGAGAGAUGCUUGUCAAAGAAUGUGAAAUGUCACUCUGAUACAAAAUAGUCACAUCUUGACUGUAAUUGAUAUGACAGACACCAGAAAAUCAUUAGAGAGUAGAUAUUAGGUGGGCUUACCCACUCCCUCAAAAUGACAAAUUCAUGGGAAGUUAUGUUAAUUAGCUUGAUUUAAUCACUCCACAGUGGAUACAUGAGCCAAUACAGUAUGUACCAUAAUUAUAUUCACUUUUUAUUUAGAAAAGAUAAAUUAAUAAAAAUAGUUUUGAGAAGAUUAAUAAAUGUGGGAAGAGGAGGCUAGUAAAGUUAGUAAAGUUCUUAGUAAAGUUCUUCCUUUACAAGUGUAAGGCCCUGAGUUCAAAUCCCAGAACCAGAAAAGAACACUGAGGCAGUGACACACACGUAGAAGAAGCCCACUUCUAGGGAGGUGGAAACUGGUGAGUCCUUGUGGCUCAAUGGUUAGCAAGCCUAAGCUUGAUUGUUGAGCCUUGGGCUAAUGAGAGUCCCUGUCUCAAGAUACAAAGUACAUAGUACUCAAGAAAUGGCACCCAACAUUGUUCUCUUGCAUCCACAUGUGAAAACACAGACACAGACACAGACACAGACACAGACACACACAGACACAGAC